UACAGGGGGGUGCAAACGUUGCUCGGAAUUAUUGGGCGUAAAGCGCACGUAGGCGGUUCGUUAUGUCAGAUGUGAAAGCCCUUGGCUCAACCGAGGAAGUGCAUCUGAAACUGGCGAGCUAGAGUAUGUAAGAGGGUCGCGGAAUUCCCGGUGUAGAGGUGAAAUUCGUAGAUAUCUGAAGGAACAUCAGUGGCGAAAGCGACUUCCUGGACCAAUACUGACGCUCAUGUGCGAAAGCGUGGGGAGCAAACAGG
rnacentral:rRNA from 1 species